AAAGUCGUAACAAGGUAUCCGUAGGUGAACCUGCGGAUGGAUCAUUAAAAAAGGAGUGGGCGGCUGGUCGCAAGGCCGGUCGCCUGCCGAACCCACCCUUGUGCAACGUAACCGUAGCCUGGGGGCUGCUUCCGGGCGGCCCCCGAGGGCCCGACUCUAACCGGUCGGCGCGCUCGAACCAACCAACCCUUUAACCAUCAGUCUGAACGUUAAGAAAUCUAAUGCAAAACAACUUUUGACAACGGAUCUCUUGGCUCUC
rnacentral:misc_RNA from 1 species